UACGGAGGGUGCGAGCGUUGUCCGGAAUCACUGGGCGUAAAGGGCGCGUAGGCGGCCUGAUAAGUAGGGGGUGAAAUCCUGCGGCUUAACCGCAGGGCUGCCUUCUAAACUGUCAGGCUAGAGCACGGUAGAGGCAGAUGGAAUUCCCGGUGUAGCGGUGGAAUGAGUAGAGAUCGGGAAGAACAUCAGUGGCGAAGGCGGUCUGCUGGGCCGUUGCUGACGCUGAGGCGCGACAGCGUGGGGAGCAAACAGG
rnacentral:rRNA from 1 species